rnacentral:tRNA from 1 species
CCCGGCUGGCCGAGCUGGGCCGGCGGCGGCUGGUCGACCUGGCCGGCUACGAGUCCUACCUGGCCCGGCUGCCGAUCCCGGUCGGCGCGCCGGGC